rnacentral:lncRNA from 1 species
AUUUUUAUAGUGAGUGUAAAGAACUAAUAUGUUUAGAAGAAGCUUAUGAAGAAAUUAAAAACGAUUUAUUAUAUAAGGACAUAAAAAAAAAAUUUAAAAUCGAUGGUAUAUAUGAUGAUCAUGAUUAUAACAAAAAUAAUGGGGACAAAUUAUAUGAACAUAAAAAAAUAAGUAAAGCCAAAUUUUUGGAGUACUUAGGGGUAGAUAAAAGUGAUGUUAGAUAUAAAAGAGAUGGAUCUUAUGUAUCGAAAUUAUAUAUAGAUCCUGAUAAUGAAAAAAAUCAAGUAAAGAUUAUUAUUUUAGAUACUAGAUAUAACAAAGAUCCUUAUCCAUUUUAUGCUCCUGAUUCAUAUGACGAUAGUUAUAUAUCUAUAAUUGUUUCAUUUUUUUCUCGUUUUUAUGCCACAUUAUUUGGUUUAAACUGUAAUAGUGGAAAUGAUAUUUUAGGAAAGAAGCAAUGGGAAUGGUUGCAAAGAGAACUUACUAAUUCAAAUGCUCGGUCGCAUAUUAUUAUUUCAUCUAUACAGGUCUUUUCAAACUUUUUCGUUAACGAAAAUUGGGGAUUAAUGCCACAUGCACUAGCACGAUUAAAAGCAUUAAUAAAAAAAACAAAACCGAAAGGUUUAUUGUUUUUAAGUGGCGAUGUUCAUUAUAGUGGUAUUUUUGGUAAUGAAGAUAAUGUCGUUGAAGUUACAAGUAGUGGCGUGAAUCAGGCAAACAUGUUUAGUCCUAUAAAUAAAUAUUUGAUAUAUAUAUUUACAGCUCUGUUUAAUAAAAGAACAGCAGUUGAUUACAACAAAAUAUAUGCAUUUAAUAAUUUUGGAUCAGUUAAUAUAAAUUAUGUUGAUGAUGAUAACAUAGAAAUAAAAACGACUGUGCAUAAUUCGAAUGGCGAAAAAAUGUUAGUGGUUAACCAAGUUUUUAAUGAUAAGAAGGAUGUAUAUUCAGAUACAGAGAAAUUACAUGUAAUAAAUGAUGAAUUUGGUACAUUAAUGUGUAAAAGUCCUUUACUGAUAACUGUACAUUUUAUUAUUCAUUUAUUAAUUCUUUUACUGUUUUUUGAAUUAUUGUAUAUCACCUUUAAACUAUUUUGUUUUAAGGGUUAUAAAUAUGGAAAAAGUAGUAAAC